UCAAGGUAUGAUGCUAUGCCUUCAGUUAUGAAUACAAAGCUUUUCAUCACUUUUCUCAGUUUUUAAGAUUGCAAAGUGAAAACCCUUGUUCAUCUUUUAUUUUUGACCCCAGACUCUCAAGAGGAUUUGAGCAGUGAACUAGGGUGUGCUUCAGUGGGUACAUGAUGUCAGACAGUGGGCUACUGAGGGAUUCUGUAGGUACCAGAUGUGAUGACCAACAUAACCUUCAGAAAUCAACUGAACAAAUGUUUCUAGCCUUUAUAAUCAGACUGAAUCCAGCAACAUCCUCACCAAGAAGAAGAGUUUGAUGCGUACAUG